GGUCCUGUGGUCUAGUGGUAUGAUUCUCGCUUUGGGUUCCCAGCUAGUCCGGAAACGGCAUGGCUGACUAAUCUGGCAUGCGAGAGGCCCCGUGUUCGAACCACGGCAGGACCC